GGCCUGUAGCGUAAGUGGUAACGCACCGACUGACAAAGCCGGGAGACCCAGAUUCGAGUCCUGGCGGGGCCU
rnacentral:tRNA from 1 species